AACUUAAAGCCGAUAUUUUCUAUCGAACUAGUCUAUUUUCUGUUCAGACACAAAGUUUUCUGAUGCUGAUAUUAUGUCAGUGUGUGUUUGUGUGGGGGUCGUGUGAUGUAAUCUUUGAAAGUUUAUGACCGAACUUUUAUUGGGGAGCGACAAGAGAUCUCCCGGACUCAGGAUGGAUGGAGCAGAACUGUUAUACUCAAGUCUAUCGCGAAAUUGUCUAAACUGGUAUUAACUAUUCCGGGUAAAUCGCGGAGAAGAGUGGAAUGAACAAAAAAGGCAGACCGAGACUAGAACCACCAGCAGCGUAACACGGAAAUCUUGGAACAAAGAGACACCGAGUGGUUCGUGUUGUCCGGUUUGGAUAUCAGCGGUAAAGCGAACGUUGUGUGUACUAUUGCAAAAUAUAUAUAGCGGAUCUCCACGGUUAGGAUACAGACCACAACGCUUUGGACGUAUCUUUAAAAAAAGAGAAAAAUCAGAGACUUUUUGGAUUUGUCUGGGGGACAUUUUAAACAUUUUGUGACAAAUUGGAUUUAAAACAUUUCGGAUAUUGGAUACCUAGUUUGAUAUGUCCACAGAGAUUGUUUAAGACGUUUUCACCUCAUUUUAGGGUUUAUUUUUAAUUAAAGGCUUCUUAAAACAUGUAUGAAAAUGUGUAUAUUAUACAAUGAGACUUAUAUUGUCUGCUCUGACAAAAAUAAACUAUUAUUUAGAUUUAGGUCAAUUGACUGCGUGUAUCUUAUAAAUACAACUUGAUAAUACGUUUGUUUUGUCAAGAGACUUUUUUUAAAGUCACGCAAGAAUAAAAUCUUUUAGUUGUAAUGGUAAACAUUAAAUAUACUAUUAUCUAUUUAACUAUAAGGUAUAUUUUUCUGAUCAACCUCAAAGUUUUUGAUGUUGAGCUUAUGACCGUGUGUGAUAGAUAUUUCACAGCAGGGUCGGUUUGUAAUGU